CUACGGGGGGCAGCAGUGGGGAAUAUUGGACAAUGGGGGAAACCCUGAUCCAGCAAUGCCGCGUGUGUGAAGAAGGCCUGCGGGUUGUAAAGCACUUUCGGUUGGGAGGACUGCUUCUAGCACUAAUAUUGUUGGAAGUUGACGUUACCUUCAGAAGAAGCACCGGCUAGCCCGUGCCAGCAGGCCGCGGUAAUACGGAGGGUGCAAGCGUUAAUCGGAAUUACUGGGCGUAAAGCGCGCGUAGGCGGCUAGAUCAGUCGGGUGUGAAAGCCCCGGGCUUAACCUGGGAACUGCAUCCGAUACUGUCUAGCUUGAGUACAGGAGAGGAGAGUGGAAUUCCACAUGUAGCGGUGAAAUGCGUAGAUAUGUGGAGGAACACCAAUGGCGAAGGCAGCUCUCUGGCCUGAUACUGACGCUGAGGUGCGAAAGCGUGGGGAGCAAACAGGAUUAGAUACCCCAGUAGUC
rnacentral:rRNA from 1 species